UACGGGGGGAGCAAGCGUUAUCCGGAAUUAUUGGGUUUAAAGGGUGCGUAGGCGGACCUAUAAGUCAGUGGUGAAAGCCCCAAGCUCAACUUGGGAACUGCCAUUGAUACUGUUGGUCUUGAGUACAGUUGAGGUAGGCGGAAUGUGUCAUGUAGCGGUGAAAUGCUUAGAUAUGACACAGAACACCGAUUGCGAAGGCAGCUUGCUAAGCUGUAACUGACGCUGAUGCACGAAAGCGUGGGUAGCAAACAGG
rnacentral:rRNA from 1 species